rnacentral:lncRNA from 1 species
AGUGUUUGGAGGCGGAGUCUAACAACAGGUGGCUAGGUCAUGAGGGCUCUGCCUCAUGAAUAAAUUAACGCCGUUAUCGCGGGAGUGGGUUUGUUAUAUCAGGAGUGGGCUCCUUAUGAAAGCAGUGGAGGAAGAAGAGAAUCACCACAUAUCGUAUUUAGAGGUCCUGCAGAAAGGGCAGAGCGAGUUUCAUGUUUGAGUGCAGCGGAUGCAUGGGCAAAGCAUUACACAGCCGCUCCAUGGAAGUGACAAUGAGCCUUGUCUUUCACACGUAACUCCAGGAACCAGGGGAAACAAAACCAAUUCCACCCAGAGGUACAGACAAAGAAGAGCACCCUCCCAAAGGAGCCCGCAUGAUAAGUGGCCACGGCGAACAUCACUGUGAUCAGUCAGAAAGGCAGGCGAGUUAUUAGCUUAGCCCUGAACCUCCUACUUAAUGUAGAACCAGUGGUGAUGGUUAACAGACCCUGGCUGCAGUGACAAGCCUGGGACCUGCUCGAGGAAAUCCAAUUGAAAAGCAGCCAAGAGGAACAACAAGCUAGAAACAGAUGUUCCAGCUACCAGGAUGUGCACGCAUUUAACCUGAACAUGUAGUUGGGGUGGGAUGGUAGCAUUCGUUUCUAAAUAUAGUGAUUUCACUUCUUCCCCCAUAUAGAUAUUGUCAAGUUUAAUUAUAGCCAUCCACAUUAGUUUUGUCAAAUUUUCAGCAAUUUCUUUAAAAUAAGAAGAUGUCAGAAUGAUAACUGCUAUUAAGGGAAUUCAGGGUGUUUGGUUUAUCUACCCAGUCUUACUAAAACAUUUCAGUUAAAUCAUCCACUCUUAAACUCCAGUCUCAUAGCAAUUAAAAAUUAUCUUUUAAAAAAUUGCCCAAAUGAAAUUCCAACAGUUCAUGUAAUUAUUUGAUUUAAUAUUACCAUGUUAGUAAAAUAUCUU